GACGAACGCUGGCGGCGUGCUUAACACAUGCAAGUCGAACGGAAAGGCCCUGCUUUUGUGGGGUGCUCGAGUGGCGAACGGGUGAGUAACACGUGAGUAACCUGCCCUUGACCGUGGGAUAACUUCAGGAAACUGGGGCUAAUACCGGAUAGGAGCUCCUGCUGCAUGGUGGGGGUUGGAAAGUUUCGGCGGUUGGGGAUGGACUCGCGGCUUAUCAGCUUGUUGGUGGGGUAGUGGCUUACCAAGGCUUUGACGGGUAGCCGGCCUGAGAGGGUGACCGGCCACAUUGGGACUGAGAUACGGCCCAGACUGCUACGGGAGGCAGCAGUGGGGAAUAUUGCACAAUGGGCGGAAGCCUGAUGCAGCAACGCCGCGUGCGGGAUGACGGCCUUCGGGUUGUAAACCGCUUUCGCCUGUGACGAAGCGUGAGUGACGGUAAUGGGUAAAGAAGCAACGGCUAACUACGUG
rnacentral:rRNA from 1 species